GUGAAUCAUCGAAUCUUUGAACGCAAAUUGCACUCUCCUCGGAGAGUAUGCCUGUUUUAGGGGCAGCCUAAAAAAAAUCGACAUAGUCGCUGUUUCGCGGUGACAUUCGUCGGAAAUUGGACCAUCUUAAACCUUUGGGUUUUAAGCGGCUUAAAAUUUUCUUUACGAUUCUACGAACGUUUCUAAUAUUUACUUACACGUUUAAGGUAUCGAUUUUUAUUAGCCUUGGCCGUUCCAUCGGGUAACGUCCAUAAAUAUUUCGAUAACUGACCUCUU
rnacentral:misc_RNA from 1 species